rnacentral:misc_RNA from 1 species
AAAAAAUUUAUUUAUUAUCAAUUUUAUUGAUGAGAAUAUGAAUAAAAGUAUGUUGAAAUAUUCUUUUUCAAUAUCUUCAUUAAAUUCCAAAUAAAAUGUAACAUUAAGGUGUAUCUAAAGGUCAAGAUAUGUAGAAAAUUAUCAUAAAAUCUGCAUAAAAUUCAAACACUCUUGAUACCAAGUUAGUUUGAAGAUCAUAUGCUGGUAAAAACAUGUAAUAUCAUUUACAUUUACAUAGCUGACAUGAGAUAGUGAGAGAAAUGAUUGAAUAUAUAUACAUGAUUGCCUGACCAAUUGAACUCUAUUCUGUAAUGUUAUCAGUGUUGUUGACUUUUUGAUAGUGGAGACAGAAGUUCUUAACAGUCAGAUGAGUUACUUUAAAGUGGCCGUGAAUCAACGAAAAAUUAAUUUUUUUACAUUUUUAAACUGACAAAAAUGACAAUAGCAACGAGAUUCAUAACAUUAUUGGGCAAAAAUACUAGAUUGUUUUCAAUGAGUUCUAAACAACGUGGGAAGGUAGUUCCUUUUAAUUUAUCAGAUAUUGGCGAAGGUAUAAAAGAAGUCACUGUUAAAGAAUGGUUUGUCAAGCCAGGUGAUAAAGUUGCACAAUUUGACAAUAUUUGUGAAGUCCAAAGUGACAAAGCAUCUGUUACAAUCACAAGUCGAUAUGAUGGGCAUAUAAAAAAUUUGUAUUAUCAAAUUGAUGAUACUGCUUUGGUGGGGAAACCUUUAUUAGACAUUGAAUUACAAGAUGAGGACUCUACAACCACAGCUAACUCAGAAGCAGUUGAUGGAGAUGAAGAAACAGCAAGGAAAGUUUCAACAAGCUUUCAUCAGUCAUCAGAAAAUAAACGGUCUAAAGUACUUACCACUCCAGCAGUCAGAAGGUUAGCUAUGGAAAAUAACAUCGAUCUCACUACUGUUCCAUCAACUGGAAAAGAUGGAAGAAUUCUAAAAGAAGAUGUUCUAAAUUUUUUGAAUAAAGACAAACCAGAUGUAGGCAACAUUAGGACUGACUCUAAGCCAUAUGAUGUUACAAAAUCUACAAGUAGUCAAGAAGAAAUUAUUCCUCUGCAAGGAUACCAAAAACAUAUGUGGAAGACAAUGACGCAAUCCCUGCGCAUACCACAUUUCGUUUACAGUGAUGAGUGUGAUGUAACAAAACUCAUUGAAUUUAGAAGUAAAGGCAAAGAAUUUUUAACACACUCUGGAAUACCACUUUCUUUCUUGCCAUUUUUCAUCAAAGCUACUUCAAAAGCUUUAGAAAAAUAUCCUAGAUUGAAUGCAUUGCUUGAUGAAGAGUCUCAAACUUUAAAGAUCAUCAAGAGUCAUAAUAUAAGUUUAGCUAUGGAUACUCCUCAAGGUCUGAUUGUACCUAAUAUUAAAAAUAUUCAAAAUUUAAGUAUCACUGAAAUUGCGAAGGAACUUCACAGACUACAAAAGUUGGGGGAAAAACCAUCAUUUGCACCAUCAGAUCUCGCUGAAGGGACCAUUGCACUUUCAAAUAUUGGAUCUAUUGGAGGAACGUAUGCAAAACCAGUCAUUCUUUCACCACAAAUUUUAAUUGGAGCUAUUGGAAAGAUUCAAAAAUUACCACGAUUUGAUGGUAAGGGAGAGAUAGUUGGUGCUAGUGUAGUCAACGUGAGUUGGGCAGCCGAUCAUAGAGUAGUUGAUGGAGCAACUGUUGCAAGGUUCUCCAAUACUUGGAAACAUUAUAUAGAAAAUCCUAUUCAUCUUCUUCUUUGAUUGAUACCAUGUACCUUUCUUCAAAUUAUUAUAAAAGACUAUUUUACGUAAAAACUUUUGUAACAAAAAAUUUACAAUUUUAUUAUUAUUUUUAUCGAGUUCUGCCAUUUCAAAUCUGCACGAUCUGGGGAAUUCACUGAAAUAUAUAUUGGUGUCAAAUAAUGUGAUAAAAAGGAGUGAGUCCUUCUUCAUCAGCUGCAUCCAGUUCUUCAGGCUUUGCAUAAUUUCAGAAAGAUUAAAAAACAAAAAUUCAUCACAGUUUAAUUUUUUUACUUCACCGACAUGGUAAUUUUAGUGAAUUUUCGCUUUCUAUACAUUUUUUUUGUACAAUCCUUAAUUGUAAUUCUUGUUACACAUCUAUUUUUUAUCUUGCAACAAUACUGAUAAUAAUAAUUUAUAAACAAUUCAAGGAGAAAACUCAACAAUCCAAGGUUUAUGCCAAUAAUUAAUAUUAUAAAAGCAAAUUGGAGAUCAUUUAAAUUAAUUUUUCGAAAAUUACUUUGAAAAAAUAUCAUUCUUUUGUGUAACGCUAAUAUUUUCUUACUUCUUCUUUUAUUUUUUGUAAUUCCAAUAAUUCUUGUUUCCACUAAAUACAUUAGUAUAAAAUUAAAUUUCUCUGUAAAAGGAAAUCGUGGACGAUAUAAUAAUGACAUUGGCAUUGACCCAAGGUGUUUAUUACCUAUAUAAUACUUAUCAAUAUUCUUAUUUUCCAAACUUAGGUUCUCAUCACUUACAUUAUCAUCUUUUUUACCUUGCCUUGUUAAAAAGAGUUGAAAAUUAGAUGCAAAACCAAUACAUACUGAACUCGGAUCGUUCUCGACAUUGCGAAUACAAUCAACUAUAGAAAACGUGCGAAUUGAUUUACGAUUAAAUAUACCUUGAUUAUUACUAUCGGAAUAAUGGAAUCCAAAAUUGUAUAUCUGUUUAAUCCGUGAGUCAAAUAAAGCAUUUUCAACAGAAUCAA